AUUGAACGCUGGCGGCAGGCCUAACACAUGCAAGUCGAGCGGAGCGGCGGACGGGUGAGUAAUGCCUAGGAAUCUGCCUGGUAGUGGGGGAUAACGUCCGGAAACGGGCGCUAAUACCGCAUACUAUCAGAUGAGCCUAGGUCGGCUUAGCUAGUUGGUGGGGUAAAGGCCUACCAAGUCGACGAUCCGUAACUGGUCUGAGAGGAUGAUCAGUCACACGGGAACUGAGACACGGUCCAGACUCCUACGGGAGGCAGCAGUGGGGAAUAUUGGACAAUGGGCGAAAGCCUGAUACAGCCAUGCCGCGUGUAUGAAGAAGGCCUUCGGGUUGUAAAGUACUUUCAGUCGGGAGGCGUUACCGACAGAAGAAGCACCGGCUAACUCCGUGCCAGCAGCCGCGGUAAUAC
rnacentral:rRNA from 1 species